CAGGGAUUGCCCUAGUAACGGCGAGUGAAGCGGCAACAGCUCAAAUUUGAAAUCUGGCUUCGGCCCGAGUUGUAAUUUGCAGAGGAUGUUUCUGGCGCGGUGCCUUCCGAGUUCCCUGGAACGGGACGCCACAGAGGGUGAGAGCCCCGUAUGGUUGGACACCAAGCCUGUGUGAAACUCCUUCGACGAGUCGAGUAGUUUGGGAAUGCUGCUCAAAAUGGGAGGUAAAUCUCUUCUAAAGCUAAAUACCGGCCAGAGACCGAUAGCGCACAAGUAGAGUGAUCGAAAGAUGAAAAGCACCUUGAAAAGGGGGUUAAACAGUACGUGAAAUUGUUGAAAGGGAAGCACUUGUGACCAGACUUGUGCCGGGCGGUUCAUCCGGGGUUCUCCCCGGUGCACUCCGCCCGGUAUAGGCCAGCAUCGGUUCUCUCUGGGGGAUAAGAAUGGUGGGAACGUGGCCCUCCCUCGGGAGGGUGUUAUAGCCCGCCGUACGAUAUCCUGGAGGGGACCGAGGUUCGCGCUCCGCAAGGAUGCUGGCGUAAUGGUCACCAGUGACCCGUCUU
rnacentral:rRNA from 1 species